CUUAAAUUUUUAAUUUAUUAUAAUUUCUCGUUCGAGUUAUGAGGUGAGCGACACUUAGUCCUCUAACUACUUAUAAUUUCUAGCUUGAACAUGAGAUAUGCGAUAUUUUAGUUCUCAAACUUUCUGAAUUGCAAUAAUAUUAUAAUUGAUGGUGCAAUAAUAAGUAAGAUACUAUAUCACCUCGACAUCAGUAUUUCAUCAAUAUGACUGAUUCAAAAAAAAAUAAGUUAUAAAAUUUAAUUUAAAUAAUUUAAAAAGUUCAAGAGCUAAAGUAUCACAUUUUAUAAGUUGAGGCAAAAAUUAUAUCUAAUUAAAAUUUGAGAACUAAAAUAUCAUUCCUCUCGUAAUUUGAUCACCAAAAGUGUAAUUUAAUAUUUGAUAAAAAUCAAAUAAUUUGAUUACAAAAAUUUAAAAAUUAAAUUUUUUUUUUUUUGAGAAAACAGGGAUAUACCCUAUUUGUACCGCGCAGAAAAGUAAAUUUAAAAAUUAAUGAGUGG
rnacentral:lncRNA from 1 species